AGCAGGGGGCACAGGAGCCGGAGGGCCGCGGGCCGGAGGACGUCGGGGAUUCGGUGUCCCCGGGUGCCUAGGACUCCGACUUUCUCUGGGAGGAAAACAAGGUGGACGCUGCACCUGCGUCACUGCCCUGCAUCACCGUUUGGUUUGGUUGGGAUGUUCCAGUAAUUCUGAGAAAUUCAGAAGAGACCCAGUUCAGCACAAGAGUUUUCAAAAAGCAAAUGAGACAAGUCAAGAAUCCUUUUGGCGUAGAGAUCACUAAUCCAUCUUCAGCUUCAAUUACAACUGGCAUAACCUUGACAACAGAUUGCCUUGAAGAUAGCCUCCUUACAUGCUACUGGGGGUGCAGUGUUCAAAAAUUAUAUGAAGCUCUGCAGAAGCACGUUUAUUGCUUCAGAAUAAGCACUCCCCAAGCAUUAGAAGAUGCUCUGUAUAGUGAAUAUCUAUUAAAAAGGAUAGCAAAGAAGAAAUAUAUUGCCAGUUGCCAAGAGAUACAAAAAUUGAAGACUUUGGUACAGUACCCAGAUCUCGCUAUCCAUUGGUAGCGCUAUUGACCUUAGCUGAUGAGGAUGACCGGGAAAUUUAUGAUAUUAUUUCCAUGGUGUCAGUGAUUCAUAUUCCUGAUAGGACUUAUAAACUAUCCUGCAGAAUAUUGUAUCAAUAUUUACUCUUGGCUCAAGGUCAAUUUCAUGAUCUUAAGCAACUUUUCAUGUCUGCAAAUAAUUUCACUCCCUCCAACAAUUCCUCUUCAGAAGAAAAAAACACAGACAGAAGUUUGUUGGAAAAGGUGGGACUCUCUGAAAGUGAAGUUGAGCCAUCGGAAGAGAACAGCAAGGACUGUGUUGUUUGCCAGAAUGGGACUGUGAACUGGGUGCUCUUACC
rnacentral:sRNA from 1 species